UUAGAGUUGAUUCAUGGCUCAGAUUGAACGCUGGCGGCAGGCCUAACACAUGCAAGUCGAGCGGCAGCACGGGUACUUGUACCUGGUGGCGAGCGGCGGACGGGUGAGUAAUGCCUAGGAAUCUGCCUGGUAGUGGGGGAUAACGCUCGGAAACGGACGCUAAUACCGCAUACGUCCUACGGGAGAAAGCAGGGGACCUUCGGGCCUUGCGCUAUCAGAUGAGCCUAGGUCGGAUUAGCUAGUUGGUGAGGUAAUGGCUCACCAAGGCGACGAUCCGUAACUGGUCUGAGAGGAUGAUCAGUCACACUGGAACUGAGACACGGUCCAGACUCCUACGGGAGGCAGCAGUGGGGAAUAUUGGACAAUGGGCGAAAGCCUGAUCCAGCCAUGCCGCGUGUGUGAAGAAGGUCUUCGGAUUGUAAAGCACUUUAAGUUGGGAGGAAGGGCAGU
rnacentral:rRNA from 1 species